AUUGAACGCUGGCGGCAUGCCUUACACAUGCAAGUCGAACGGCAGCACGGACUUCGGUCUGGUGGCGAGUGGCGAACGGGUGAGUAAUACAUCGGAACGUGCCUAGUAGUGGGGGAUAACUACUCGAAAGAGUGGCUAAUACCGCAUGAGAUCUACGGAUGAAAGCGGGGGAUCGCAAGACCUCGCGCGGACGGAGCGGCCGAUGGCAGAUUAGGUAGUUGGUGGGAUAAAAGCUUACCAAGCCGACGAUCUGUAGCUGGUCUGAGGGGACGACCAGCCACACUGGGACUGAGACACGGCCCAG
rnacentral:rRNA from 1 species